rnacentral:rRNA from 1 species
UACAGAGGUCUCAAGCGUUUGUCCGGAAUCAUUGGGCGUAAAGAGCGUGUAGGCGGCUCGGUAAGUCCGCUGUGAAAGUCCAGGGCUCAACCCUGGAAUGCCGGUGGAAACUGUCGAGCUAGAGUCCGGAAGAGGCGAGUGGAAUUCCUGGUGUAGCGGUGAAAUGCGCAGAUAUCAGGAGGAACACCAAUGGCGAAGGCAGCUCGCUGGGACGGUACUGACGCUGAGACGCGAAAGCGUGGGGAGCAAACAGG